AACAUCCUGCGAUGUGCGUUGCGGUUUUUAUUGUUUUAAACCAAUGACGGUUUCUAGGGAGAUCAACAUCGAAGCACGGCUGACAUGCCCCCGAAAAGGGACUUCAAAUGUGUUUUUGCGGUCACCCACCUGCUAGUGCAGGUUUGAAACUUAAAACUGUACGGCAUACGCGGGGGUUCU
rnacentral:other from 1 species